rnacentral:rRNA from 1 species
AUUGAACGCUGGCGGCAGGCCUAACACAUGCAAGUCGAGCGGAUGAAGGGAGCUUGCUCCUGGAUUCAGCGGCGGACGGGUGAGUAAUGCCUAGGAAUCUGCCUGGUAGUGGGGGAUAACGUCCGGAAACGGGCGCUAAUACCGCAUACGUCCUGAGGGAGAAAGUGGGGGAUCUUCGGACCUCACGCUAUCAGAUGAGCCUAGGUCGGAUUAGCUAGUUGGUGGGGUAAAGGCCUACCAAGGCGACGAUCCGUAACUGGUCUGAGAGGAUGAUCAGUCACACUGGAACUGAGACACGGUCCAGACUACUACGGGAGGCAGCAGUGGGGAAUAUUGGACAAUGGGCGAAAGCCUGAUCCAGCCAUGCCGCGUGUGUGAAGAAGGUCUUCGGAUUUUAAAGCACUUUAAGUUGGGAGGAAGGGCAGUAAGUUAAUACCUUGCUGUUUUGACGUUACCAACAGAAUAAGCACCGGCUAACUUCGUG